rnacentral:tRNA from 1 species
GGUCUCUGUAGCUCAGUAGUUUAGGUCUUGGACUGGAAAUGCAGAGGUCGUGAGUUCAAGCCUCAGUGUGUCCU